rnacentral:rRNA from 1 species
UACAGAGGUCUCAAGCGUUGUUCGGAUUCAUUGGGCGUAAAGGGUGUGUAGGUGGCGCCGUAAGUCGGGUGUGAAAUUUCGGAGCUUAACUCCGAAACUGCAUUCGAUACUGCGGUGCUUGAGGACUGGAGAGGAGACUGGAAUUCAUGGUGUAGCAGUGAAAUGCGUAGAGAUCAUGAGGAAGACCAGUGGCGAAGGCGGUUCUCUGGGCCUGUACUGACGCUGAGGAGCGAAAGCGUGGGGAGCGAACAGG